UACGUAGGUGGCAAGCGUUACUCGGAAUCACUAGGCGUAAAGCGCAGGUAGGCGGUCGGAUAAGUUUCUUGUGAAAGCUCCUGGCUCAACUGGGAGAGGUCAAGGAAUACUAUUCGACUUAGAGUGUGGUAGGGGUAACUGGAAUUCCCGGUGUAGCGGUGAAAUGCGUAGAUAUCGGGAGGAAUACCUAUGGCGAAGGCAGGUUACUGGGCCAUCACUGACGCUGAGCUGCGAAAGCUAGGGGAGCAAACAGG
rnacentral:rRNA from 1 species